GCCCGCCUAGCUCAAUCGGAUAGAGCGUCAGACUCUUAUCACUAAGGCAAUCGGGCAUCUGAAGGCUGCGAGUUCGACCCUCGCGGUGGGCU